GACGAACGCUGGCGGCGUGCCUAGUACAUGCAAGUAGAACGCUGAAACUUGGUGCUUGCACCGAGCGGAUGAGUUGCGAACGGGUGAGUAACGCGUAGGUAACCUGCCUGGUAGCGGGGGAUAACUAUUGGAAACGAUAGCUAAUACCGCAUAAGAGUAGAUGUUGCAUGACAUUUGCUUAGAAGGUGCAAUUGCACCACUACCAGAUGGACCUGCGUUGUAUUAGCUAGUUGGUGGGGUAACGGCUCACCAAGGCGACGAUACAUAGCCGACCUGAGAGGGUGAUCGGCCACACUGGGACUGAGACACGGCCCAGACUCCUACGGGAGGCAGCAGUAGGGAAUCUUCGGCAAUGGACGGAAGUCUGACCGAGCAACGCCGCGUGAGUGAAGAAGGUUUUCGGAUCGUAAAGCUCUGUUGUAAGAGAAGAACGAGUGUGAGAGUGGAAAGUUCACACUGUGACGGUAUCUUACCAGAAAGGGACGGCUAACUACGUG
rnacentral:rRNA from 1 species